CAGAGGCCAUUGCUAUCAGGGUUUGACUAAGCCAUGCGAGUCGAGAGGUGUAAGACCUCGGCAUACUGCUCAGUAACACGUGGUUAACCUGCCCUAAGGUGGAGAAUACUCCCGGGAAACUGGGGCUAAUGCUCCAUAGUGGAUAUGUCCUGGAAUGGUAUAUCCUCGAAAAAUCCGUCGCCUUAGGAUGGGACUGCGUCCGAUUAGGUUGUUGGCGGGGUAACGGCCCACCAAGCCUUUUAUCGGUACGGGUUGUGGGAGCAAGAUCCCGGAGAUGGAUUCUGAGACAUGAAUCCAGGCCCUACGGGGCGCAGCAGGCGCGCAAACUUUACAAUGCGAGCAAUCGUGAUAAGGAAACCCUGAGUGCCUGUCGAUGCAGGCUGUUCAUAUAUCUAAAUCAUAUGUGAAGAAAGGGCAGGGCAAGACCGGUGCCAGCCGCCGCGGUAAUACCGGCUGCUCGAGUGAUGGCCACUAUUACUGGG
rnacentral:rRNA from 1 species